rnacentral:lncRNA from 1 species
AAUACUAUUCAGCCAUAAAAAGUAAUGACAUCAUGCCAUUUGCAGCAACAUGGAUGGAACUAGAGAAUCUCAUACUGAGUGAAAUGAGCCAGAGAGACAAAGACAAAUACCAUAUGAUAUCACUUAUAACUGGAAUCUAAUAUUCAGCACAAAUGAACAUCUCCUCAGAAAAGAAAAUCAUGGACUUGGAGAAGAGACUUGUGGCUGCCUGAUGGGAGGGGGAGGGAGUGGGAGGGAUCAGGAGCUUGGGCUUAUCAGACACAACUUAGAAUAGAUUUACAAGGAGAUCCUGCUGAAUAGCAUUGAGAACUUUGUCUAGAUACUCAUGUUGCAACAGAAGAAAGGGUGGGGGAAAAAUGUAAUUGUAAUGUAUACAUGUAAGGAUAACCUGACCCCCUUGCUGUACAGUGGGAAAAAAAAAAGAAAUGAAAAGGGAGAGGUAACCAUGGACAUCACAGAAAUACAAAGGAUCAUAAGAGACUACUACAUGCCACUAUAUGCCAAUAAAAUGGGAAACCUAGAAGAAAUGGACAAAUUCUUAGAAAAGUAUCAUCGUCCAUGACUAAACCAAGAUGAAAUAGAAAAGAUGAACAGACCAAUCACAAGUACUGAAAUUGAGAUUUAAAAACUUCCAACAAACCAAAGUCCAGAUGGCUUCACAAGCGAGUUCAAUGUAACAUUUAGAGAAGAGCUAACACCUAUCCUUUUGAAACUAUUGCAAAAACUCACAGAGGCAGGAACACUCCCAAACUCAUUCUGUGAGGCCACCAUUACCCUGAUACCAAAACCACACAAAGAUACCAUAAAAAAAGAAAAUUACAGGCCAAUUUCACUGAUGAACAUAGAUGCAAAAAUCCUCAACAAAAUACUAGAAAACCUAAUUCAACAAUACAUAGAAAGGAUUGCACAAAAUGAUCAAGUGGGAUUUAUCCCAGGGAUGCAAGGAUUCUUCAGUAUCUGCAAAUAAAUCAGUGUUAUACACCACAUUAACAAACUGAGAAUAAAAACCAUGUGAUCCUGUGGUGUUCCCGUCGUGGCUCAGUGGUUACCAAAUCCAACUAGGAACCAUGCAGUUGUGGAUACUAUCCCUGGCCUUCCUCAGUGGGUGAAGGAUCCAGCGUUGCUGUGAGCUGUGGUGUAGGUCACAGACAUGGCUCAGAUCCCAGCAUUGCUGUGGCUCUGGCGUAGGCUGGCGGCUAUAGCUCUGAUUAGACCUCUAGCCUGAGCACCUCCAUAUGCCUCGGGUGUGGCCCUAGAAAAGGCAAAAAGACACACACACACACAUAAUAUGAUCCUCUCAAUAGAUGCAGAAAUCUUUAACAAAAUCCAAUACCCAUUUCUGAUAAAAACCUUUUAGAAAGUGGGCAUAGAGGGUACCUACCUCAACAUAAUAAAGGCCAUAUAUGACAAACCCACAGCUAACAUCAUUCUCAAUGGUGAAAAGCUGAAAGAAUUCCUACUAAGACCAGGAACAAGACAAGGAUGUCCACUCUCGCCACUACUAUUCAACAUAGUUUUGGAAGUCCUAGCCACUGCAAUCAGAGAAGUAAAAGAAAUAAAAGGAAUCCAAAUUGGAAAGGAAGAAGUAAAACUAUGACUAUUUGCAGAUGAUAUGUUACUAAGAGAAUCCUAAAGACUCUACCAAAAAAUUAGAGCUCAUAAUUGAAUUUGGCAAAGUCACAGGAUAUAAAAUUAAUACACAGAAAUGGACUGCAUUUCCAUAUACUAACAACAAAAGAUUAGAAAGAGAAAUUAGGGAAAUAAUCCCACUUACCAUCCCAUCAAAAAGAAUAAAAUACUUAGGAAUAAAGCUACCUAAAAGCAACAAAGGAUCUCUACUCUGAAAACUAUAAGAUGCUUAUGAAAGACAUCAAAGAUGACAAAAACAGAUGGAAAGACAUACCAUGCUCUUGGAUUGGAAGAGUCAAUAUCAUCAAAAUGACUCUACUACCCAAGGCAAUCUACAGAUUCAAUGCAAUCCCUAUCAAAGUACCAAGGACAUUUUUCACAGAACUUGAACAAAAUAUUUUAAAGUUUGUUUGGAAGCACAAAAGACCCAGAAGAGCCAAAGCCAUCCUGAAAAAGAAAAAUGGAGCUGGAGGAAUCAGGCACCCUUCCUUCAGAUUAUACUUCACAGCUGUAGUCAUCAAAACUGUAUGGUACUGGCACAAAGACAAAAAUAUAGAUCAGUGGAACAGGAUAGAAAGCCCAGAAUUAAACCCAUGCACCUACAGUCAACUAAUCUAUGACAAAGGAGGCAAGAAUAUACAAGGGAGAAAAGACAGCACCUUCGGAGACGGGAUUAAGAUGGUGGAAUAGAAGGACUGGAGCUCAACUUCUCUCCUAAAAACAACAAAAUUCACAACUAAAGACUGAGCACACUUCACCAAAAUGGACGGGAAACCUUAAAAAAGGUACCCUACUCCAGGAAAAAAAGAGGAGGCCACAUCAAGAGGUAGGAGGGGCGAUUUCACGAUAUAAACAACCCCAUACCUCCUGGGUGGAAAGCUCCACAGACUGGAAACUAACUGGUUCACAGAGACUCACCUACAGGAGUGAGAGUUCUGAGCCACACAUCAAACUCUCACAUGUGGGGAUCUGGCACUGGGAGAAAGAGCCCCAGAGCAUCUGGCAUUGAAGGCCAGUGGGGCUUGUGCGCAAGAGCUCCACCAGACUAGGGGAAACGGAGACCCCAUUCUUAAAAGGCGCACACAGACUUUCACAUGCACUGAGUCCCAGGGCAAAGCAACAUCUCCAUAGGAAUCUGGGUCAAACCUGACCGCAGUUCUUGGAGAACAUCCUGGGAAAACAGGGGUGAAUGUGUCUUGUUGUGAGGGAAGGACAUUGAAAGCAAAGCUCUCGGGAAUAUUCAGCAGCAGUGCCUUUCUCUGGAGGUGGCCAUUUUGGGAAAAUCUGGCCCCACCCAUCAGCCAGCUGCUGAGAAGCCCCAGGGCAAACAACAACCCAGGUGGGAUCACAGCCCUGUCCCUCAGUAAAUAGGCUACCUAAAGACCCCUCAGGCACACAGCUGCCUCUAAUCCCAGCCAGAGACUAAGCCCCACCCACCAGAGGGAUUAGAAUCGGCUCCUCCUACCAGGGGGCAGGCAUCAGCCCCUCCCAUCAGGAAGCCUACACCAAGCCUCCAUACUGACUUCAGCCACAGGGGGCAGACAUCAGAAGUAAGAGAGGCUACAACUCUAUUAUCUGUAAGAAGGUCACCACACCAAAAACCUAUAAAAACGAAAAGACAGAGAACUGUAACUCAGAUGAGGGAGAAAGAAAAAACCCCAGAAAAACAGCUAAGCCCUGAGGAGAUUCUCAGCCUCCAGGAAAAAAACUUUAGACUGUUGAUGCUGAAGAUGAUGCAAGACAUUGGAAAUAAACUGGAGGCAAAGAUGGAUAACUUACAGGAAACACUGACCAAAGAGAUACAAGAUAUAAAACUGAAACAAGAAGAGAUGCAAAAUACAAUAACUGAAAUAAAAAAUUCACUAGAAGCAGCUAACAGCAGAAUACAGGAGGCAGAAGAACGAAUAAGCGAGGUGGAGGACAGAUUAGUGGAAAUUAUGGAUGCAGAACAGAAAAGAGAAAAAAGAUUGAAAACAAAUGAAGAGAGUCUCAGAGAACUCUGGGACAACGUGAAACGCACCUACAUCCAUAUUAUAGGGGUGCCAGAAGGAGAAGAGAGAGAGAAAGAGACAGAAAAAAUAUCCCAAGAGAUAAUAGCCAAAAACUUCCCUAACAUGGGGAAGGAACCACUCACUCAAAUCUAGGAAGCACAACGAGUACCAUACAAAGUAAACCCAAGGAGGAACACCCUGAGACACAUACUAAUCAAACUGACCAAAAUUAAAGACAAAGAGAAAAUCUUGAAAGCAGCUAGGGAAAAGAAACAAAUAACAUACAAGGAACCCGAUAAGGCUAUCAGCAGAUUUUUCAGCAGAAACUCUGCAGGCCAGAAGGGAGUGGCAUGAUAUCCUCAACGUGAUGAAAGGAAAAAACCUCCAACCAAGAUUACUCUACCCAGCAAGGCUCUCAUUCAGAUUUGAAGGAGAAAUCAAAACCUUCUCAGAUAAGCAAAAGCUGAGAGAAUUCAGCACCACUAAACCAGCCUUACAACAAAUACUAAAGGAACUUCUCUAGGCAGAAAAGAACAAGAGAAGAAGGAAAGGAAAAAGAGCAGCAAAAACAAAUCCAAAGUAAUUAAUAAAAUGGCAAUAAGAACAUACAUAUCAAUAAUUACCUUAAAUGUGAAUGGACUAAACGCCCCAACCAAAAGACAUAGACUGGCUGAAUGGAUACAAAAACAAGACCCAUAUGUAUGCUGUCUUCAAGAGACCCACUUCACUUCUAGGGACACAUACAAAUUGAAAGUGAGAGGAUGGCUGAAAAUAUUUCAUGCAAACGGGGAUCAAAAGAAAGCUGGAGUAGCAAUACUCAUAUCAGAAAAGACAGCCCUUCAAUAAGUGAUGCUGGGAAAACUGGACAGCCACAUGUAAAAGAAUGAAAUUAGAACACUCCCUAUCACCAUACACAAAAAUAAACUCAAAAUGGAUUAAAGACCUAAAUAUAAGACCAGAUACUAUAGAACUCUCAGGGGAAAACAUAGGCCAAACAUUCUCCAACAUAAACCACAGCAAUAUCUUCUCAGAUCCACCUCCUAGAGUAAUGACAAUAAAAACAAAAAUAAACAAAUGGGAUCUAAUUUAAAAGUUUCUGCACAGCAAAGGAAACCUCAAACCAAACAAAAAGACAACCCACAGAAUGGGAGAAAAUCUUUGCAAAUGACAAGGGAUUAAUCUCCAAAAUUUAUAAA